CAACCCUUAGUUAACGCAAACAUUAGUGCUCGUUUCUUUGUUACAUGAACAAGGAACUUGAGAAGUAAGCACAAAGGCAUGGACACUUUAUGUGCCAUGAUUCUUCACUUACAAAUUGUUGUAUGAAGAAAUGAGAGUUGCCUUGAACAACUCUUGAAAGUUUGUAAUUGUGUUUAGAACAUAAUGGUUGGUUGACAAAAAUAGUCCAUCAACAUGGACUUAUGAUGAUUUUGAAUCAUUGAGUGUUAAAGUGCUAAACCACUUCUAGAGAUGGAAACUAGGCAAGGACUUCACUUUUGUGUCCCUAUCCAAAUGGUUCACUAAGUUUAUUGUAAACUAUAUAGUGAACAAAUAACCACACGCUCUCCAAAUUGUUUGAUGUAUAUAACACAAUUGAAAUAAGUUUCAAGAGAGAUAAUGGGAGUUUAGGGACCAUGACUAUUGUAGUCAAAGGAGAAGUCAAAUAAGUUUCAAGAAAUGUCUUGCAAGUGUCAAGAACACACCUUUCGAAGGUGUUGUAAAUUGUUCUUGAAAAGUUCAAAACAGUUGGUUCUUCUACUUGAAUGCUUGAUUCCGUAUUAGUAACUAUGUUUUACAAUCGUUGUAAAAGUGUGGCUAAUAAGAAGUAGAAGUUUAAUGAGAGAAGAGAAAGUACUUCACAUUUGAAACAUGAAUCAAAUAUAGAUCUCUGUGAAAGAAGGUAGUACUUACUUCCUCAUAUGAACUACCAAAGAAAUGGAAAAAAAAAGAUUGUCUUUACAUUCCAAUUUGAAUAAAGGAACUUAAUUCCGUAUGAGAAAUGGAUGAAUGUUUUGCUUGACAAAACAUUGUUCUUUAUUAAUGAAUGAUUAGAUUAUUGUAAUCUAAUUAAUUAUCUCUAUAGUAGAGAUCAUAUGGUAGUGUUAACUGUUUAGAAUAUAACGAUGGUUAAAACCCAAAAGGUUGCAAGGUAGUGACUAAUCCCAAUUGAGUUGUGAUACCUCUAAAACAUAAAUUACAAGUUGGUCAUAGAUGGAUGCUUUGGAUCGUUAGAUCCAGAUCCAAUGCCUUCUUGUUAAAAUUGUAUAGAGGAAAAAUGUUUGAAUCUUUAUUCUUUUGGAAAGGAAGAAAGAAUCACAAAGUUGUUGAGGUUAAAUCACUUAGAUGUUAGUGGCACUUGUCCACAACAAAAUACUACUCAUGUUGUAUGACAUUCACCGAAGAUCGCUCUCGGUUGGACUAUCGUUUAUUUUGAAUAAACACAAGUCCGAAUACUUUGCAAAAGGUUUCAAAGAAUUCAAGAAUGUAAGUUGAUGAGUAAGAUGUCUAAAGUAUUUGCCUCCUUAGAUUUGAUCCAAGGAAAGGUAACACUUUGGAACGGUUUCCUUGAAAGAUAUCAAGGAAAGAAGCAUCAUAAGAUAAUGGAUUUCUCCAUUAGGAGAAGAACGAACUUGAAUAAGAUUAGUUUGUUGGAUGUUAUCAAUUACCCAUAUAGGAUAUAUACUUCUAAGACAAUAUGAUUGUCAAUUAGAAGAUCUUCCAAAAUUUUCAUGACUCCAUAG
rnacentral:lncRNA from 1 species